CUUUUAAAUAUAUGUGGGAUAAAUGCAGUUAAACAAUGACCCAGGUUAUCCAUCAAAACGUAAUCUUCUAAUAUAAGAUAAAUAAAACUUUGGACUUAGAUGUGGUCCCUAUGCAUGUAUCUGAUAACUCAUUUUUCCCAUCUUCUUUUUGAUACUUCCAAGAAGCUUCUUGUUUAUGACUCAUGAAAAUUGUUCCUAAGGAGGGAAAAUGAAUUAAUGACCCCAUCUAGGCCAGAAGUCAUCUUUCCCUUUUCUGAUACUGCUAAAUCACUUUAAUGGAAUCCUUCUGUUUUACCAUGGACUCUAGUUAUUUUGUGCCUAUCUUAUGUUCUUAAUGAAUGCUGAUCUAGGGAUGUCAAUACUGUCUGCGCCACUAUCACUCUGGUCAGUGAGAAUCUGUCCUGCCCACAACCUCUGCUCCCCGAGAAACUGAACUUAACCCAAGUACAACUAAUCCCCAGGUUAGCUGGCAACCUCCUGUGGCCUGGCAUCAAGAGAGGGACUGGAUGAGUCCAUGUCUGUCCCUCAGGAAUGAGGAAGAGGGAAUGUGAGAGAAUAGAGAAUAGUCUAGCAGAACAAGACCAGGAAAGGAGGCAUUGGUGUCGAGUCAGGGCUGUGACAAGCCCACGUCAUGUGCAAGCUGAAUUUAUGGAGGAAUUAGAAGAGCAGAGAAGAAUGCUUCUCUUCUGCUUGGUAGAGAGAAGAAUGAAGCAGAUGCACAGAAGGCUGCAGAGCUAGACACAAAGUAAAGACAAGAACACAGCUGAUUCAGGAGGCCGGGUCCUAUAUCCUUAAAGAUUCCAACUUCAAGCUACCGUCCCUAUGCCUCCAUCCAGUUAAAACCCUCCCAGCAUUGAGGCAACUUGAAGGGUUUCUUUGCCACCAAAGUACCUCCCCAGUUUAGCUUCCUGGUUCAUCACUAUAUACCCCAGUGCCUAGCAAAAUGGCUAGCCCAUGUAUAGCAAUACCAAUGAUUUUCAAAUGAAAGGUUUCCUUUGGUAUUCAUUUAAACAUUCAUUUGUUUAUCCAUUCAUUCAAUAAGUAACUGAAUUUGUUGAGGACCUACUGUGUACCAGAUGAAGAUAUAGCUGUGAGCAAGAUGGCAAAUGUCCAUACUGGCAUGGAACAUACGUUCUGCUAAGAAUAGAACAUUUAUAACAGCAGUGAAUAUAUGAGGAGGGACGUGGCAUUGUGCAUAAGCACAGACUGGCCUCCACCGCUUGCCAGCUGUUUGAGCUGGGAAAACCUUUUCAUCAGAGUCAUGGUUCCCUCAUCAGUAAAACUGACAAAAUACCAAACUUCACAGAGCUGCUGAAGAUGAGGUGAGAUAAAAAAUAUAUAAAUGUCUAGCAUACAGUAAAUAAUAAAUACAGGUAGUUGUUGCUGUUAUGGAAGAUGUCUGAUGAGGGGAGUGACACAGAUCAUGUUUUGGAAGUCACUAGUUGGAAUGGCAUGGAGGAUGGAGUGGAGGUGGGGGAGAGAUCAGCAGCAAGGAGGCCAUAUUUAAAUAAUAACUUCCAAGGCUGAGGAGAAUCCUAAAUGUCAUCAGUUUA
ensembl:lncRNA